CCCAGACUCCUACGGGAGGCAGCAGUGGGGGAUAUUGCACAAUGGGGGGAACCCUGAUGCAGCGACGCCGCGUGGGUGAAGGAGCGUUUCGGCGCGUAAAGCCCUAUCGGCAGGGAAGAAGGAGGACGGUACCUGACUAAGAAGCCCCGGCUAACUACGUGCCAGCAGCCGCGGUAAUACGUAGGGGGCAAGCGUUAUCCGGAUUUACUGGGUGUAAAGGGGGCGCAGACGGCAGCGCAAGCCAGGAGUGAAAGCCCGGGGCCCAACCCCGGGACUGCUCUUGGAACUGCGCGGCUGGAGUGCAGGAGGGGCAGGCGGAAUUCCUGGUGUAGCGGUGAAAUGCGUAGAUAUUAGGAGGAACACCGGUGGCGAAGGCGGCCUGCUGGACUGCGACUGACGUUGAGGCCCGAAAGCGUGGGGAGCAAACAGGAUUAGAUACCCUUGUACCG
rnacentral:rRNA from 1 species